UGCCAGCAGCCGCGGUAAUACGGAGGGUGCAAGCGUUAUCCGGAUUCACUGGGUUUAAAGGGUACGUAGGCGGGCUUAUAAGUCAGUGGUGAAAUCCUUCCGCUCAACGGAAGAACUGCCAUUGAAACUGUAAGUCUUGAGUAUGAUUGAGGUAAGCGGAAUGUAGCAUGUAGCGGUGAAAUGCAUAGAUAUGCUACAGAACACCAAUAGCGAAGGCAGCUUACCAAGUCAUUACUGACGCUGAGGUACGAAAGCGUGGGUAGCGAACAGGAUUAGAUACCCUGGUAGUCCACGCCGUAAACGAUGUCAACUAGCCGUUGGGAGCCUUGAGCUCUUAGUGGCGCAGCUAACGCAUUAAGUUGACCGCCUGGGGAGUACGGCCGCAAGGUUAAAACUCAAAUGAAUUGACGGGGGCCCGCACAAGCGGUGGAGCAUGUG
rnacentral:rRNA from 13 species